UACGUAGGUGGCAAGCGUUGUCCGGAUUUACUGGGCGUAAAGGAUGCGUAGGCGGAUACUUAAGUCAGAUGUGAAAAUCCCGGGCUUAACUUGGGAACUGCAUUUGAAACUGGGUAUCUAGAGCGCGGGAGAGGAAAGUGGAAUUCCUAGUGUAGCGGUGAAAUGCGUAGAGAUUAGGAAGAACACCAGUGGCGAAGGCGACUUUCUGGACCGUAACUGACGCUGAGGCAUGAAAGCGUGGGGAGCAAACAGG
rnacentral:rRNA from 1 species